CUGCUAAGCUGGCUGACCAGUGCGGACGGUGGGCAAGACGGACGUGCGAUGGAGUCAGCGCAGGCGUGAAGAUGCGCGGCCGAUCGGCACGGAUGCCACAUGCGCAGCUGGAAGAACUGCCGACGGUCAGAGCUGAUGCCACCAAGAGCACAUUAUGCAUAAAUUCCUUCUGUAAUACUUUUGAAAUAUGUCUGUAACCUUUUAAAUCUACUACUUUUUAAGAAAUAAAAACACUUCAAAGUUGUAA